rnacentral:rRNA from 1 species
CCUACGGGUGGCAGCAGUAAGGAAUAUUGGUCAAUGGACGCAAGUCUGAACCAGCCAUGCCGCGUGAAGGAUGAAGGCCCUCUGGGUUGUAAACUUCUUUUAUUUGGGAAGAAAUCCUCAUUUCUAUGAGUUUUGACGGUACCAAAGGAAUAAGCACCGGCUAACUCCGUGCCAGCAGCCGCGGUAAUACGGAGGGUGCAAGCGUUAUCCGGAUUCACUGGGUUUAAAGGGUGCGUAGGUGGGUAAAUAAGUCAGUGGUGAAAGCUCCGAGCUUAACUCGGAAACUGCCAUUGAUACUGUUUAUCUUGAAUAUAGUGGAGGUUGGCGGAAUGUGUCAUGUAGCGGUGAAAUGCUUAGAUAUGACACAGAACACCGAUUGCGAAGGCAGCUGGCUACACUAUUAUUGACACUGAGGCACGAAAGCGUGGGGAUCAAACAGGAUUAGAUACCCCUGUAGUC